UAGUAAUGUGUUUCCAAAGGCUUGUGAAUUAUUACCGCUCCGCAGAGCCUGCAAUUGAUGCCAUUUUUUAGUGAUACACUCUUUGUAAUGAGCAUUAGAACUUCUGCCUCAAGAGUGGUUCCUUUCUAUCAAAGGCUGUCCGGUUCAGAGGUGCUUGAAAUGUAUUCAGUGCUGCAGAGAAAGGUAAGUUCUGUGACCAUGGGAAGCAGGGCCUUACCAGGAUGCUUUCAAAGUUGUCUAGCUUCUCUCUUCUUUUCCUAGGUUGGUUCUUUUUAAUCUGAUGCAGUGUUUUCUGUAUUCCACCUGCUAUGCUGAGAAGAAAUUUCUAAUAUUUAAAGGGCAGUUGAUAUGAUCCUUUUUGCAGGAAAGGUGGGAAAAAGAGCUGAUACUGUCAAAAGAAUCUCAGCUUGACACCACCUGAGUGACUGCAGACUUCUGCACUUCCUGAUUGUGAAAUGCAGAGCAGCUGAAUUCCAUAGAAGAGAGUAUUCCGCAGCCUGGUGUCAUCAUACACGAUGAAUACAGAGGCAUUUUUGCUGUGCAGAAGUGAUUUCUAGCAGGAAUACAAGAUCAAAUGGCAGGCCUGAGAUAUUAUUUUGAAGAAGAGUUACCCAGUUUCACAGCAGUGAAGUAGGAGAGCUGUCUUGUCACCCCACUGUGUACCUGUAGCAGCAAUUACAGUGGAGGCAUCGCUUGUGGCUUUCAUCAUAUUCACUUCGUGUCAAAGAAAGCUCUGGAAUACGACUAGGAAACAGAACUUGAGGACAAUGAUACCAGAAAGUGUGGGUUACCAGCACCUGGUUCAGCAGCGCUUCCAGCUGAUGUGUUUGUCCUGUCAGCAGAGUUGUCAGAGAAAUCUCAUGGAAGAAGAAAGAAAAGACAAGCCCAUCUUGGCAGGAGAUCCAGCUUUCAAAUCCAAGGAAAUCCCAAACAUCUGCAAGAGAAAUCAACUCGCCAAUAGUGAAAAAUAAAGGAUACAUUGCUUCGAAGACGAAGUUCAGAACCACUAUUGAAUACCUGUACAACUUUAAGCUAUGAGAAAGGCUAAACCAGGUCAGAUGAGCAGCAACAGGAUGACAGUGAUGAUCUGGCGAGGGGAUGUGUCUGAAAGUGGGCUGAAUUUGAGGAUUCCUCUGAGACAAGAGGAGAAGGAGACAUCAGAGAGAAUUCAGCCUACAAGAUUUAUCUCCCCUUUUUCCAUCCUUGCCAAAACUGUGGCUGCACCUACAUAGUCUUCACCACUGGCAUGACUCACCUAAAAUACAUCCCUGUCUACAGCAGUCAUAGACUAGUCCCAGAACCAGUAAAACUAGCAAAAUCAGGUUUCCUACAGCUCCAGGUCCAAUGAAGCUGGUUCUUAUGUUCCUCAGGAGUGUAAAGUACUAUGGCCAAACUGAAUGUGACUGAAUGCUGGAGAUCCAACCCCAGUUCCAUGCCAGAGGCUCUUCCCUGUGCAGAAGAAACACAGCUGCCCCCUCACUGUGUUCAGAUACACUGAAGAGAGCCCACUUGGGAACAGCUCCCAACGCUUUAACAGGCCUUCUGCAUAACAGGGAAGCUCAUUGGAACAUCCAUCUCUGCAGACAUCCCACCCUCCAUAGCACAGCAGAGGCCCAGUCCGCUUUACGCAUCGUGUUUUGGUUAAACCUUCUGCUCCCCUCCGAGGAAGGCCCUGACGGCUCCGCUCCUUGCCUGCGGGGCCCGAGAAGGAGCCUCCCCCGACCCCGCACUGCGGAGCCACCCGGGACGCUCGGCUCUCCGCGGUGAGAGGCACCGGGGCGCGGUGACCGGUCCGUGCGGCAUCGCUCCCGGCUUUCA